AAUACUACUGACUUCAGUACAUGGGACUAGCAGAACUGGACAACAUCACUAACUCAUAAACAAUAACAUUUACAGUGGAGUUAUGCUGUGACUAAUAUUCUCUGCUCUGUCCAAUGUGGCUAGGUGGAUAGUUUCCUGCUGUGGCUCCUCACAGGACAGGAGAGUAACAGGAUGACUAGACCAGUAUAAAGGACAAAAUAUUUGGACAACGUCCACCAAUGAAACACCAUUCACUCAAAAUCCUCCCCAUUUCCACCCAGCAGAAUGAACAGAAGGGAUCCACACAUCCCCUCCUUGGUCAUUUACCCAUGAAGCUUGGGUACAAGCUCCAGGUUGAUCUGUGUUGCUCUGCAGUUGUUAUAAUGA